AGAGCGAACGUUGGCGGCAUGCUUAACACAUGCAAGUCGCACGGGCAGCAAUGUCAGUGGCGGACGGGUGAGUAACGCGUAGGUAUCUAUCCUUGGGUGGGGGACAACGGCUGGAAACGGCUGCUAAUACCGCAUGAUAACUGAGGUUUAAAGGCGCAAGUCGCCUGGGGAGGAGCCUGCGUACGAUUAGCUAGUUGGUGGGGUAAAGGCCUACCAAGGCAACGAUCGUUAGCUGGUCUGAGAGGAUGAUCAGCCACAUUGGGACUGAGACACGGCCCAAACUCCUACGGGAGGCAGCAGUGGGGAAUAUUGGACAAUGGGCGAAAGCCUGAUCCAGCAAUGCCGCGUGUGUGAAGAAGGUCUUCGGAUUGUAAAGCACUUUCGACAGGGACGAUGAUGACGGUACCUGUAGAAGAGCCCGGCUAACUUCGCGCCAGCAGCCGC
rnacentral:rRNA from 1 species